AACAUGUAAGUAGUUACAUUUACUUAAAAACUCACAGACACAUGAUUUUGCAUGUGACUUUUGCCCUAAAUGUAGUAAAAAAAACUAAAAAAGCUGAAAAGCUCAAUUUAGUAACAGGCUGCUUUAAUAAUAUACAUACAGUUUAUGUUAAAAUAAAAACGUUACAACCGGUAGUGCUCUUCAAACCCUCACCAUUACAUCUCCAGUAACAUUCAAUAAUGGAUAUUGUGGGAAAAGUUCAUACAUUUAUGUUUAUUUCCACAUUAUUAUGGUAUUAGUUUUAGUUUGAACUGAUAAUCACGGGUCAUAAAAAUUGUGCAACUGCAGAUAUCACAAUUCUCAGUGCUGAAACAACCAGUCAGAUCUAUCAGAUCUAAAGAACUGCUCUCACAUUUUGCCACUUGAGUUCACUUCGAAUAUAAGGUAAGAAAUUGUUCAUUUGAACAUCAUUUUUCAUAAUAGGCUCAUAGAGGUCUUUUCAUUCUCUAGUCUUUUAACUCGUUAAAAAAAUUUGAACACCUACACAUAGCCAUCAGUUGAACUUCAGCACUUUUGUUCUGUCAUAUAAAACACACUGCAGGCUAAAUUUCUGUCUUCUCACAUUAGCAGGACAUGCUGGAAACUCUUCCACUCAUUUGAACUCUAUAGUUGCAAUGACAGACUGGGUCAGUUUAGAGCCUCAUGGAUUUCCGACCAACAUUUCCAUCACAGUUAAGAGGAACUUUACUGGAGAGGGGUUUGUGUGUUAAAGUAUACUGUCAUUUUACUGCUCCUCCGCACAUUUGGUCAAAACCCCUUAAUAGAACCUGGUUCUAAGGAGACCCACAAAACUUGUUUUGAGGCUAAUAUUGGAAUCAACUCUAACACGAUGCAGUGUAACUUUGAGCUGGAAUCUGAUGGUGAAUACAGAUUUAAAGUGGAGCGGGGACAAGGGAACAUGCAUAUCUUUCCUGACACGGUAACAUUUACGUUUAUUCAUUUAAAAGCGACUAACAAGUUGGGUAAACAAUGGAAGCAAUUGGGUCAGCAUGAGGACAACAAAAAGCAUAAGUGCAAUAAAACAUGUCUCACAAAGCCUACUACAGUGUACAGAGCUAAGUUUUUUUUUCAUAUAUAGAUAGAUUAGAAAAGAUAUAGAAGUCAUAAAUGAUCAGUGUGAUGAUUUUAAAUGAUUUUAUGUGAAUAAAGCAAUGUUACACUUUAAAAAAAAUUGGGUUAUUUCAACAUAUAGCGUUGAGUCAAAAAUGGACAAAUUAACCUAUGGGUUGUUUUAACCGGUCAAAUAUAAACCAUUUGCUUGGUUAAUUUUACCCAACUGUUGGGUUCGUCCAUUUUUGACCCAAUGCUGAAACAUAGACAUUUAACUAAUGAACCUCUUUUAAAAAAGAACGCAAUCAAUUUGAGACCGGAGACUUUUAUUAACCAAAAAAGAGAGCAAAGAACAUCGAAUUACAAAUUAAUAUGAAUGAACAGUGCUUAUUUAAAUAAAAAUGCAUUCAUUUCUGCAUUAUUAUGUCAAUGAGAAAACAACAUUAUUUCGAUCAAUAUUAUUGCCAUCACACAGUCAGAUACAUACAAAUAUCCUCUACAACACUCAAAGUGAAAAAUUAGGUUUGACUUCCGAAUCUUCGCUAACAAAUAAAUAACUGGUAAAGCAUCUGUGUAGGCUAUAUAUCUUCAGUUUGCAUUAAUUGUAUAUGCACAUAUAAUGUCACGUUGUGCUCGAUUUUCUGCAAAAUAUACACCAUUGUUGCACAAUGUAUGUUCCUGUUGUGCAGUCAGAGGUUCACAACACAGAACUAUAUAUCAUGUAUUUACAUACACUGGUGUCCCGCCAAAGUGCCUGUUUGAAUGUAAGCUUUAUUUAAUACAAUUACUCAUUAAUCUGUUAGUUGAAAUUGUAUUUCAAGGGCGGAUCGCAUAUACUGACCAUCUAAAACUGACGCAACCUUACCGGAGGAUUACAUAAAACAUGACAUUUAUUUUUAAGCACCUUGGCUAGUCUCAUCUUCCUACGUUUCGUUCUGCUAUGUAAAGGAUUUCUUGGCCAAUUUUUUUGCUCCAGUGAUCCAUCAAUCUUGUAGUGUUUCCAAUAUUCAGUAUGACUUUUUAUAUCAAUUCUGAGCUUCACUGCAAUGCAGUGUGUUCAGGGCUGAGAGUCAUUUUAUUCCUCUUUGUAUUAACAACAGGAAUUCAAAUAAAAAAGGAAUUCAAAAAACUUGAAUAAACAGAAGAGUAAAGGCUUUGGAGGGGGAAUCCAGCAACCAUUCAAUAAACCAGUUUUGAAUCGAGUUACUGGUCUGUUUUCAUUUAUAAACGUAAAUAAAUAAAGAUAUAAAUAAAAAA